rnacentral:rRNA from 1 species
UACGGAGGGGGCAAGCGUUACUCGGAAUUAUUGGGCGUAAAGCGCGCGUAGGCGGCUUGGCAAGUCAAAGGUGAAAUCCCUCGGCUCAACCGAGGAGCUGCCUUUGAAACUGCCUGGCUUGAGGCCGGGAGGGGGUAGCGGAAUUCCCAGUGUAGCGGUGAAAUGCGUAGAUAUUGGGAGGAACACCGGUGGCGAAGGCGGCUACCUGGACCGGUUCUGACGCUGAGGCGCGAAAGCGUGGGGAGCAAACAGG